rnacentral:rRNA from 1 species
AUUGAACGCUGGCGGCAGGCCUAACACAUGCAAGUCGAACUAGCGGCGGACGGGUGAGUAAUGUCUGGGAAACUGCCUGAUGGAGGGGGAUAACUACUGGAAACGGUAGCUAAUACCGCAUACCAUCAGAUGUGCCCAGAUGGGAUUAGCUAGUAGGUGGGGUAAUGGCUCACCUAGGCGACGAUCCCUAGCUAGUCUGAGAGGAUGACCAGACACACUGGAAAUGAGACACGGGCCAGACUCCGACGGGAGGAAGCAGUGGGGAAGAUUGCACGAUGGGCGCAAGCCUGAUGCAGCCAGGCCGGGUGUGUGAAGAAGGCCUUCGGGGUGUAAAGAACUUUCAGCGAGGAGGCGUUACGCGCAGAAGAAGCACCGGCUAACUCCGUGCCAGCAGCCGCGGUAAUUC